GCGGGUUUAGCUCAGUUGGGAGAGCGUCAGACGUAGGCGUCCCAGUACUAAAUGUUGACUCCUCGUACUAAUACGAAUUAUAGUGAAGUAAACUUCAAGUUCCAUAUCUGAAGGUCAUGUGUUCGAUCCACAUAAACCGCA